GGUGAGAUCCAGUGUGGUGUGGCAGUUAGCACACCGGACCAUGACUUGGGAGACCAGGGUUCAAAUCCCUACUCAGCCA